AGAGUUUGAUCAUGGCUCAGGAUGAACGCUAGCGGUGCGCCUAACACAUGCAAGUCGAGCGAGAAGAUGGAGUAGCUUGCUACAAAGUUGGAAAGCGGCGAACGGGUGAGUAACACGUUGGUAUCUGCCCUCUGGUCAGGGAUAGCCAUCCGAAAGGAUGAUUAAUACCGGAUAGUCUCGAAAGAGUAAAGAUUUAUUGCCAGAGGAGGAACCUGCGGCCUAUCAGCUAGUUGGUGAGGUAGAAGCUCACCAAGGCUAUGACGGGUAGUUGAUCUGAGAGGAUGAUCAGCCACAAUGGAACUGAGACACGGUCCAUACUCCUACGGGAGGCAGCAGUGAGGAAUCUUCCACAAUGGGGGCAACCCUGAUGGAGCGACACCGCGUGAAGGAUGAAGGUCUAACGAUUGUAAACUUCUUUUCUGAGGGAGCAUAAUGAGAGUACUUCAGGAAUAAGGGACGGCUAAAUACGUGCCAGCAGCCGCGGUAAUACGUAUGUCUCGAGCGUUAUCCGGAAUUACUGGGUGUAAAGGGUUUGUAGGUUGUUUGUUAAGUAGGGUAUGAAAGACCGGAGCUCAACUCCGUGUUUGUAUUCUAAACUGGCUAACUAGAGUUAGGGAGAGGUAAGCGGAAUUUUAAGUGUAGGGGUGCAAUCCGUAGAUACUUAGAAGAACACCAAAAGCGAAGGCAGCUUACUGGAACUAUACUGACGCUGAAGAACGAAAGCGUGGGGAGCGAAAAGGAUUAGAUACCCUUGUAGUCCACGCCCUAAACGAUGAUAACUUAGUGUUGGGGGUAACCUCAGUGCUGAAGCUAACGCGUUAAGUUAUCCACCUGAGGAGUACGGUCGCAAGAUUAAAACUCAAAGGAUAGACGGGGACCCACACAAGCAGUGGAUC
rnacentral:rRNA from 1 species